UACGGAGGGUGCAAGCGUUGCUCGGAUUUAUUGGGCGUAAAGGGUAUGUAGGUGGUCUUAUUUGUCUAGGGUGAAAUCCUUGAGCUUAACUCGAGAAGUGCCCUAGAAACGGUAAGACUAGAGUCCUGGAGAGGGUCGUGGAAUUCCAGGUGUAGCGGUGAAAUGCGUAGAUAUCUGGAGGAACACCGGUGGUGUAAACGGCUUUCUGGACCAUUACUGACGCUGAUGCACGAAGGCGUGGGUAGCAAACAGG
rnacentral:rRNA from 1 species